GACGAACGCUGGCGGCGUGCUUAACACAUGCAAGUCGAACGGAAAGGGCCUGCUGUUGUGGGGUGCUCGAGUGGCGAACGAGUGAGUAACAAGUGAGUAACCUGCCCUUGACUUUGGGAUAACUUCCGGAAACUGGGGCUAAUACAGGAUAGGAACUCCUGCUGCAUGGUGUGGGUUGGAAAGUUUCGGCGGUUGGGGUUGGUCUCGCGGCUUAUCAGCUGGUUGGUGGGGUAGUGGCUUACCAAGGCUUUGACGGGUAGCCGGCCUGAGAGGGUGACCGGCCACAUUGGGACUGAGGAACGGCCCAGACUGCUACGGGCGGCAGCGGUGGAGAAUAUUGCACGAUGGGCGGAAGCCGGAUGCAGCAACGUCGCGUGGGGGAGGACGGUCUUCGGGGUGUAAACCGCUUUCGGCUGUGACGUAGCGGGAUUGACGGUAAUGGGUAAAAAAGCAACGGCUAACUACGUG
rnacentral:rRNA from 1 species